rnacentral:rRNA from 1 species
UAAAAGUCGGAGGAAGGUGGGAUGACGUCAAAUCAUCAUGCCCCUUAUGACCUGGGCUACACACGUGCUACAAUGGGCGGUACAAAGGGUCGCGAACCCGCGAGGGGGAGCCAAUCCCAAAAAGCCGCUCUCAGUUCGGAUUGCAGGCUGCAACUCGCCUGCAUGAAGCCGGAAUCGCUAGUAAUCGCGGAUCAGCAUGCCGCGGUGAAUACGUUCCCGGGCCUU